rnacentral:lncRNA from 1 species
CUCUACAGACACUAUUUAUCUCCCUUUUUACACUAUUCGCCCCCUCCCUGACUUGAGCGUCGGAGGGCCGGCGCCGGAAAACCCGGCCACCGGUUCGUGUGCAGGCACCCAGACGGAGGACUCCGCCAGCUGACGGAUCGCCGCCUCGCCACGAGGACCAGCUGCUCCUUCUCCCCGAUCACACCAGACAGAGGACGCCGCUCGCCGACGGACCGCCGCCCCGCCGUGA